GUGUCAGCAGCCGCGGUAAAACGUAGGUGGCGAGCGUUAUCCGGAUUUACUGGGCGUAAAGGGUGUGCAGGCUGCCCCUCAAGUGGUGUAUGAAAGCACCCGGCUCAACCGGGUCAUGGUAUGCCAGACUGAAGGGCUAGAGAGCGAGAGCGGGACGUGGAAUUCCGGGUGUAGUGGUGAAAUGCGUAGAGAUCCGGAGGAACCCCAGAGGCGAAGGCGGCGUCCUGGCUCGCAUCUGACGCUCAGACACGACAGCAUGGGGAGCGAACGGGAUUAGAAACCCUCGUAGUCC
rnacentral:rRNA from 1 species